AACGAACGCUGGCGGCAGGCCUAACACAUGCAAGUCGAGCGAGCAUUUCGGUGCUAGCGGCGGACGGGUGAGUAACGCGUGGGAACGCGCCCUUUUCUGCGGAAUAGUCCUGGGAAACUGGGGGUAAUACCGCAUACGCCCUUUUGGGGAAAGAUUUAUCGGGGAAGGAUCGGCCCGCGUUGGAUUAGGUAGUUGGUGGGGUAAUGGCCCACCAAGCCGACGAUCCAUAGCUGGUUUGAGAGGAUGAUCAGCCACACUGGGACUGAGACACGGCCCAGACUCCUACGGGAGGCAGCAGUGGGGAAUCUUAGACAAUGGGGGCAACCCUGAUCUAGCCAUGCCGCGUGAGUGAUGAAGGCCUUAGGGUUGUAAAGCUCUUUCAGCUGGGAAGAUAAUGACGGUACCAUCAGAAGAAGCCCCGGCUAACUCCGUG
rnacentral:rRNA from 1 species